GGACACAGGGAUACAGGAAAUAGAGGGAACAGAGGGGACAGAGGGGACACUCGGAACAGAGGGGAUACAGGGGACACAGGGACACAGGGGGCACAGGGGACACAGGGAAUAGAGGGAGCAGAGAGGACACAGGGACACAGGGAAUAGAGGGGACAGAGGGGACAUGGAAUACAGAGACACAUGGAAUUGAGGGAACAGAGGGGACACAGGGGACAAAGGGAAUAGAGGGGACAGAGGGGACACAGGGAAUAGAGGGGACACACGGAACACAGGGAAUAGAGGGGACACAGGGGACACAGGGGACACAGGGAAUAGAGGGGACACACGGAACAUGGAACCCAGGGGACACCGGGAACAAUCUUCCCCCUGCCCUGCUCCUGGUUUAGCUCUGCCUGCUCUCCUGCCCUCGGGGCUGUGUCCAGGUGCCCUCCCCCAGGACCCUGGCAGGCUCCAGGGCCAGCUGGCAGUGCCUGCAGGCUGCAGCCAGCCCGGGCUCUCAUGUGCCACCUGUGUGCCAUCUCCUCUGGGAGCUGCCCGGGGGAGCCGUGCCAUCACCGUGGGCAUUGCCUGCAGCCCAAUCCAUGGAUUUACUGCGGCUCUUUAGCCUCAGCCUGGGGAAGGGAUGCUGGUUCAGAGCCUUUCAAAGGCCCCUGGGGUUACUGGCCCAAUUUCUGGCCACGGCUCCCUGGGAGCUGCUGCUGCAGGCCCUGAACUCUGCUGGGCACCGACCCUGCUUCAGCUGAAAAGGAGCAAUUGUCCCAAUUCCCGCAGUGACUGUCCCAGCCUGCCGAAAUCAAAGGGAUGUCUGAGUGCUCCCCUGCCUGUGGGGAAAGCAGGAGCAGGUUAGGCACAGGAGGGGAGGUUUAGAUUGGGAAUUAGGAAGUAUUUUACUGCAGGGCUGAGGAGGCCCAGGAACAGAGAGGCUGUGGACAUCCCUGGCAGUGCCCAAGGCCAGGCUGGACAGGGCUGGGAGCAGCCUGGGACACUGCAAGGUGUCCCUGCCCAUGGCAGGGGUGUCACUGGAGGAGCUUUAAGGUAAUUUCCAAGCCAAACCAUGGUGGGAUUCUCAGAUUCCAGGUGCUGCCAGCCUGGUCUGGAAUUCCCCAGAUUUGCACAAGCAGCUGGAGCAGGAGCUGUGGGGCUGCUGCUUCCUCAGCCUCUCAGGAGAUCCUUUUCCUUACAGCUGAGAUGGGUGUGAAGGAUUCCCCACUCCUGAGAAUCACCUUGGCUGUUGUCACAACACUUCUGUGCUGCCACGGCCACCUUUCCCAGAGGCUGCUGGCACAGCCUGGCUGGGAUCUGCUCCCUGUUGGAGGAUCUGCUCCCUGUUUGCUGGAGGAUCUGCUCCCUGUUGGAGGAUCUGCUCCCUGUUUGUUGGAGGAUCUGCUCCCUGUUUGCUGGAGGAUCUGCUCCCUUUUGCAGGAUUUGCUCCCUUUUGGAGGAUCUGCUCCCUUUGUUGGAGGAUCUGCUCCCUUUUGGAGGAUCUGCUCCCUUUGUUGGAGGAUCUGCUCCCUUUUGAAGGAUCUGCUCCCUGUUGGAGGCUCUCUCACCCUCACUCCCUCUCUGUUCCCUCCCCCCUCCUGCCCUGCCUUUAAUGAAUGACUUGUUGUGUAAA